GCCGAAUUGCUCAGUUUCAAAUGGAGUUUGUUCCACUUGUUUCUAGGAUAGAGUCUGAAAAAAACCCACCUCAUCUCCUGAUGUUAGCAUCUUUCAGACUUUCCUAAAUUUAAAGUUGGCGUAGGAUUCUUGACACCUUCUUAUUGGAGGAGUGUCUAGCACCCAUAGAUCAAAUAAUGUCUGGUCUGCAAUUGUCAGACAAUGCUUUAGUGGACGUGUUUGGCACCUGAGAGAUACGAACACAUCAUUUAAUAAUACGUUUUCCGUGCAUGAUGCUUGACUAGUGAGCAUUUAUAGUUCAUUGAAAGGUACUCCAAAGAUCCAGCUUCAUAAAUACCCAUGUUCUGGAGUUGGUCUAGAAGAUGACCAUCAGUAUGACUACGUGGUUGCAUCAGAUGGUGAAUGCAAAGAAGAUGCAAUCAUCUUGAACCAAGAGCUCCCUGUUCUACACCAAAGUGCCCCAUUAUUGCCACAGAUUUGAGAAACACCUUAGAUUUGGGUUUAGAAAAGGUAUAUAACAACACAAUGGGAAUAUAUUUCACAGUCACAUUCAUGUGUGCAAAAUGGAAAUGAUUUCUUUAUAACUCACUUUAGCUCGUGGGUUAUUUCACUAAUGAUGGAAAACCUAACUCUGUAAUACAAAGUAAUCUCAGUUACUUGCAGUUUAAACUCAAUGUUUUUUGGAUAAAUAGUCAAAUUAGGAUUUUCUACUUCUAUUUCCUACUAUCCCUUCUGGGGGAGUAACAUGUAGGUUCUGAAUGAUCCAGGUCCUGGGUGGUCUAUCAUCCUGACUUUGGGAAAGGGGAACAUGGUUCAUGGGCUUCAGUAAACCACCUAGUUGGCUUCUUCUGAGAUGAAUAAUCUGUGUUUCCCUUGCAUUGGUUGCCUAUCCUCCUACAGCCGUGCUGAAAUGUCUGUGCCCCCUUGGCUCAUCAGUCCCCAGGACCUCACAAGUCACUCUGUCUUCCUCAUCCUGACCCCUCCAGGUCCACUGGCCUCACUUUCAGUCAUUUUUUGUCCUUCUUUAGGGGGCAUGAUAGUUUUUUCUAAUUAGAUCUUUUAAAAAUAUGGUAAAAUAUGUAUAAGAAUUUUCAUUUUAAUCAUUUUAAAGUGUACAUUUCAGUGGCAUUCUUGUUCAUCUUUAUAUUGUCAAGCCACCAUCAGCACUACCCAUCUCCACAAUACUUUCAUCACCUCAAACUGAAGCUCAGUCCCUAUUAAAGAAUAGCUCUGUAUUCUCCCCUCCCUCUAGCCCCUGGUAACCACUAGUCUACUUUCUGUCUGUAUGAAUUUGAUUGUUCUAAAUAUUUCACAUAAGUGGAAUCCUACAGGAUUUGUCCUUUUGCAUCUGGCUCAUUUCACUUAGCAUAAUUUUUUUUUUUUUUU